rnacentral:lncRNA from 1 species
UAUGUUAAAACUAUAAUACUACUAAGUCUCCAAGAGUGCUUUACCGAGAAUCCUAGUACAGGCGGUUGUUUUUUGCGGCUUGGGAUGGGGGAAAGCGGUGGCGAAAAUAGAGAGCAGAGGGAUGAGAUCUCCCUUCUAUCUGAAGAACUUAUUCAAUUAUCUGUCAAAGGAUCGAGGGUAGUUCCUGACGACAAGCCAACUCUAAUCUGUACAAUUUGGACAGGGAAACUUUACAACCCUGAAAGUUUUAAAGCACAGAUGAGGAGUUUGUGGAAAACAAAGAAAAAGUUUGAGAUUAAAUUGGCAGGGCAGAAUCUAUAUUUGAUUGUGUUUGAGUUGGAAGAAGAUUUGGAGUUGAUCAUGGAAGGCAGGCCAUGGCUUUUUCGAAAGAGUUUAAUCUUAUUUGAUAGGUUAACUCAAUCGGUGGAAAUAUCUCAGAUCUGUCUUAAUUCCUCUUCGGUUUGGUUAAAGAUAGGGUCAUGUUUACCAGAAUUUGAUAAAAAGGAUUUAUUACAUGUUAUAGGCGUUACGUUUGGAGGAGUUAUUAGAUCUGAAAUUAGCGAAGAAUGGUGCCGUCUCAAAAUAAACCUUAAUGUGCAGAAACCCCUUCGACGAGGAAUUUUCGUCUCAUCGGAUAAUAGAAAUCAAAACUGGAUUUCUUUUAAGUACGAGAAAUUACCACUGUUUUGCUACGGGUGUGGAAGGUUGGGCCACGGAAUUCCAGAAUGUAGUGUGCUGAGUGUUGCAGAAAAAAAGUAAAAUUAAAGAUGAUCCUCCAUUUACAAUGGCAUUAAAAGCAGAAUCAAAUCUUGUUGGAAAGGAAGUUAUACAAUUUAAUGAUUUAUCAAAGAAGGAUAGGGCUUAGGUUUCUUAUACAGGUGAUUAUGAGAAUGAGAGGUUCGAAGAUAUAAUAAAUGGAGAAGCGAAUAAUUUUAAGGAGGUGUUACAUGGGAGAUCACAUGUGGGCGAUGAAGAGAAGAUGUUGAAGAAUCAGGUGGACGCAGCCACAGUCAUUAUUGAUGAAAAGAUGGUUGAAAAUAGGAGUAGUCCAGUUAUUAACUCAAAUUCAGCAAAAAAGAUGAGCUGGAAAAGAAUUGCCCCAGGUCAAAGGGGGACUCAGCGAGUGGACGAGAGUGGUAUUAAGAAGAGGAAAGCUACAGAAGGAAGAUUAGAGAUCUUUAAUGUAGAAGAUGAUUAUGGAGAUGGUACUAAAAGACAGAAAAAAGAGCAAGAAAAGGAUCUGGGGGACAUGUUAGCAGAAACGAUGAGUAAUAUUAUGGAUCAGAAUGAAGUUCAACUAAUUAUGGGAUUGGCGGCUGCCAAGAGGCAAGCUGACCAAACGCAAUGAAAAGCAUCAGUUGGAAUGUUCGUAGAUUGGGGAGUCCACGAACAGUUAGAAGGCUGCGACAUUUUUUAAAGCAGCAUAAUCCCCAUAUGGUCUUCUUAAUGGAGACAAAAGUUAACAAGCAGUGCAUGGAAAAAGUCAGAAGAAGCUGCUGGCUUCUGAAUGGAAUUGAUGUUGCUGCAGAAGGCUCCCGAUGUGGUUUAUGUUUAGCAUGGAAGGGAGAGAUUUUAGUCACUCUAAGGAGCUUCUCCAGGAGUCAUAUUGAUGUUAUGGUGAAGGAAGAAAAUGACAAAGAAGAGUGGAGAUUCACAGGAUUCUAUGGCUCCCCUUAUGUCAAGGAUAAUAAGGAUUCUUAGAACUUAUUACGGAAACUAGGACGUGAUCAGAGACACCCAUGGCUUGUAAGUGGGGAUUUCAACGAAAUUAUGUACUCCUUUAAGAAGAAGAGAGGGUUUGCAAGAGAAAAAAGAAGGAUGGAGGCUUUCAGGAAGACCCUUGAGGAAUGUCAGUUAGAAGACCUAGGGUAUACAGGGGCUUGGUUUACAUGGGAAAGAGGGAAUCUGCCUGAAACAAAUAUCAGAGAAAGAUUGGAUAGGGGAGUUGCUAAUGAUAAAUGGCAGAAUCUUUUCCCAAGUGGUAAUAUCCAACAUUUAAUUCAUACGAUGUCCGAUCAUUGUCCACUUUUGCUCAAUUCAAAAACUGAAAAUACUUAUGUGGGGAGGCCAAGGUUUAAAUUUGAGGCAUGGUGGAUCAUGGAAGAUUCUUUAUAAGGAAUAAUUAAAACAUCUUGGGAAACAUCCGCCGGUACUUUAAUGGAGAAAUUGGAAAAGCUAUAAUCGAAUUUAAAAGAAUGGGCAGAACAAAUUAGAAAAAGUCGAGAAAGGUUAAAGAAAAGACUUAACAAAAACCUUGAGACGCUGUUGGGGGAAGAAAGCAAUGAUGAUAUACUGGCAGAGAUUAUUGACACAAAGGUGCAUUUAAACUUAGAAAUAUACAAAGAGGAGAGGUAUUGGGAACAGAGGACAAGAGUAAACUGGCUUAAAGUAGAGGACAAGAAUACAGGUUUUUUUUCACAAGUAUGCCACGUCCUGAUGAAAGAGAAACAACAUUUCAAGGCUUGAAUUGGAUGGAGGAGGAAAAGCAACUGAGGAAGAUAAGAUCAGUAAAGCAGCCAAGACAUUUUUUCAGAAGCUUUUUUCAUCAAAAGGAGUAGGAGAACUAUCUCAUCUCUUAACUGGUAUUGAUGGUAACAUUACGCUAGAAAUGAAUGCAGAUUUAAUGAGAAAAUUUACGGAAGAAGAGGUGCUUUUAGCCUUGAAAGGUAUGGGACCUACGAAAGCACCAGGGCCUGACGGAUUUCCAGCACUUUUCUUUCAGCAAUAUUGGCAUAUAGUGGGGAAAUAAGUUACUAGUUUCUGCCUUGGAUGCUUAAAUAGCGGUAAAACUCUUGGCCCUUUCAAUGCAACUGAUAUUGUAUUGAUUCCAAAAAUUCAGAAUCCCAAGAAUUUAGCCAAUUUCAGACCAAUCAACUUAUGCACAGUUAUUUAUAAUCUCGUUGCAAAGACUAUUGCCAAUAGACUUCAGGGGUUAUCGGGCAGUGUAUUGAUGUGGUGCAGAGUGCUUUUGUCCCAAGUAGGCUAAUUUCUGAUAAUAUAUUAAUAGCUUACGAGCUCCUUCAUACUUUCAAGCGAAAACGUACAGGUAAGAAAGGUUUAAUGGCAGUUAAGCUUGAUAUGAGCAAUGCCUAUGAUAGGGUUGAGUGGAGGUUUCUUAAAGAAGUAAUACUGCGAAUGGGUUUUGUUGAAGAAUGGGCUGAUUUAAUCAUGAAAUGCGUUUCUUCAGCAACUUUUGCAGUCAACAAUAAUGGGAAAAGGGGGGAAACUUUUCAGUCUUCAAGAGGGUUGCGCCAGGGGGACCCCUUAAGCCCCUUCCUAUUUCUAAUAUGUAGCGAGGGGCUUUCAGUGUUGAUGAGAUUGGCACUAAAAAAGGGAAAGACGAAAGGAGCAAAGGCGAGCAGGAAAGGACUAGGGAUCUCACAUUUGCUCUUUGCAGAUGAUUGUAUACUGUUCAGUGAAGCCACUGAUAAGGGAGUGAGAGUGCUAAAAGGAGUUCUAAAGGAAUAUGAAGAUUGAUCUGGUCAGUGCGUUAAUUUUUGAGAAAUCCAUGGUUUUUUCAGUUCGAAUACAUCAGAAGAUAUAAGGGGCGAAGUUUUAGGAAGUUUAGGGAUAAGAGGGUCUUCAGACAUGGAAAAGUACUUGGGUCUCCCUAAUUUGAUUGGCAAACGAAAAAAGGAGUCUUUUCAAUAUCUAAAGGAUAAGGUCAAUUCUAGAAUCAAAGAUUGGAGUAUCAGAUUGCUUUCACAAGGAGGUAAAGAAGUUUUUAUUAAAUCAAUAUUACAGGCUAUUCCGACCUAUGCUAUGUCUUGCUUCCUUUUUCCUAAUUCCCUAUGUGAAGAACUGGAAAAAAGCUUUGCAACUUUUUGGUGGCAGAAAAAGCAAGGGAAAAGGGGUAUCCACUGGUGUAAAUGGGAGCACAUGUGUCGAGCUAAAGAAGAUGGAGGGUUAGGCUUUAGGAACUUAGCUAAAUUCAAUGUCUCUUUAUUAGCUAAACAAGGUUGGAGAAUUCUGAAUAAUCCAAACUCACUAGUUUCAAAAAUUUUGAAAGCUAAAUAUUUUCCAGAAACAAAAUUCUUAAACUCAAGCCUUGAGAAUAAUUGUUCAUACACGUGGAAGAGUAUAUGGGCCACUAAAGGUAUUCUAUCAGAAGGAUUAUGCUGGAAAGUUAGGAAGGGAACUGAAAUUUUGAUUAAGAAUGAUAGUUGGAUACCAGAUUUAAAUUAUGCUAGUUUAUCGUCUCAUUUUGUCAAUUUACGAGAUUAUAGAGUUGCAGAGUUAAUUGAUGAAAGUAAAAGAGCAUAGAAGAAGGACUUGAUCGAGUCUACCUUUCCAGUGGAGAUAUUUGAAAGAAUCCUCUGCAUCUCGCUUGCUAAAGAGCCUCAUGAAGAUUUUCUGGCCUAGAGGGGUGAAUCCUCAGGAGAGUUUACAGUGCGAAGAGCCUAUAAACUAUUACAGGACAUUGAAAUUGAUCUUAGGACUUAUGCCUUACAAAACGAAACUAGGAAUUUUUACAAAAAUCUAUGGAUCCUAAAUCUUCCUGCUAAGACAAAAAUUUCUAUCUGGCGAUUUGCCUGGAAUUAUCUACCAACGUGGGUGAAUCUGUAUUACAGAAGACUUCUAAGUCAGACAACAUGUUCUGGGUGUGGCAGUACAGCAGAAACCACAAACCAUAUUUUUCGUGAGUGUCUUGUGGCAAUGAAAGUAUGAGAGGAAUUAUCUUUAUCUGAAUUAUUACAGGUCCCUUAUAUGGAAUUUUUUCAGUGGCUCACCUGGGUUUUUGAACAGAUUACUCCCACCAGACGUAGGGUCUUUUGUUGUGCUCUUUGGGCAAUCUAGGGAGAAAGGAACAAGAGAGUGCAUGAGAAAAUCAGUAGAUCUGGGAAAGAAAUCGCAGGUUUUAUUAGGAGAUAUAUUGCAGAACUUAGGGUCUGUUUGAUAGGGGAAAACCAUUUUCGAAAUUGGUUUUCCCCAUUUUCCGGUGUUUGAUUGGAGGAAAAUGAUUUCCUAUUGUAAAAUAUUUUACAAAACAUGGGAAAAGAAGUUCUUGUUUGAGGAAAAUGUCUUACCGUUUUGAAUUCGGUAAGACAUUUUCCGGAAAAUGACCCAUUCUUCUCCCCUUUCCCCUUCUCCUUCCCUUUCCCGUUUCGAAGCCUACAAUCGCCUCCAAGCCAUGGCAGUGGCCUUCGGAGAGAAGUUGCUGAUUCUCGAAAAGUGUAGCCCUCGACAGUCAAUCUGAUGGAAAAAGCUCUCCUUGAAGCUUUGUUUGGAUUCCAUUUUGCUUUUGCCCAAAAUCCAUUCGAUGCGUCGUUUCGCCCCCGCUAUGGGAGAAGCUUUAGAGGGAUCCCGGUUCUGGUAAUGCCCGAGGCGUCGCAGCCUCAGUCUCUUAAGCCCAAGAUGGUAUCCAUCCUCAUCCACUUCGUCAGUUCGGAGCAGGGCAGAUCCGACUCGGCAAUCAAGAUCCAGAAUGGAGCAAGUGAAUGACAUCGAGCGUAGUGUUUCUAAGACAGAGACUGUGGAAUUGAUUCGGAAUGACCCAAAGCAGAGAUUGAAAGUGAACGAGAAUCUGAUGAGCUUGCUGUUCAAAUUGACCCAAAGCAGCGAUUGAAAAUAAUGCGAAAGUAAUUGACCAAAAUCAAGGUAUUAUCGAUUCUUCAGAUAAAAGCAAUCAAAUUUUAGAGUGGGAAGCAACAGAGGAUGCUGAAUGUGUGGCUAAUUUGAGUGAAUCGAAAGGAAGUUUUACUGUUGUAGUCGGAGGGAAUGAGGAGAAGAUAUUGGAAAGCAGUGGGAAUGAGAGUCAAAGCAAUUGGUUAGGAGAUGAAGAAGGUGAAAAUAGAAGAGGGCAGUCUGAUAAUUGCUCUCUUUUGUUCUCUGAUAAUAGAAGAGGGCAGUCUGAAAAUAGAAGUGGGAAUGAGAGUCAAAGCAAUUGGUUAAGAGUCAAAGCAAUUGCUCUCUUUUGUUCCAAAAAAUCAAGAACGAAUCAUUGUAUACACACCCUAGAAUAUCAUGUCUUAUAUCCAACAUCAUCUUUUGGCAUCACAUAUCCCAUGUCUUGAAUCCAAAAUCAUAUCUUCAACCUCAAGUAAAUUGGGCUUAUUGGGAUCCAUCUAGAGUUUAUAAUUUCCCUUAUUACUUUUAUAAGUAAUAUAUUUUAAGAAAUAAUAUUUAACUUUUAUAAUUUCCCUUAUAUUAAUAUAUUAAAAAAUAACUUUUCCGGAAAAUAUUUUCGGGAAAUCUGUCAAACAGCAGAAAAUAUUUUACAUAGAUUCAAUCAAACACCAGAAAACAUUUUCCAGUAAGUCAUUUUACAGAAAUGUAAAACAUUUUCCAGAAAUCAUUUUACGGAAAACAUUUUACUGCCAAUCAAACAGACCCUUAAUGGGAUUGAAGAAAAAGUCUCAAAAGUUACUAAAGGAGUUAAAAAGUGGAAACAACCACUUGGCCAGUUAACUUUGAUGCAACUUUUGAUGAGAAUGCAAAACAGUCGGCAGUGGGAAUUGUGGCCAGGGACAGCGAAGGAAAUGCCCUUUUAUCACUUACAGAGAUUCACCACCAAGUAGCAUCAGCUUAUGCCGCAGAAGCAAUAGCUUACCGGACAGCAACUCAAAUCGGUAUGGACAUGCAAUGGCCAAACAUUAUUAUUGAAGGAUAUGCACUUUCAAUCAUUAAGAAGUGCAAAACAUAAACUAAUGACAAAUCAAGGGUCGGAGCAUAUAUUCGUGAUAAUCAUCAGUUACUGAUAAAAAUAAAAAGAUACUAUUUUGAGCAUACACCAAGGGAGGCAAACUAUCUGGCACACAAGCUAGCGAGAGAGGCUUUAAGAAAGAAGGAAGAAAUUUACCUGCUAGGCAGAGUUCUGGAAUAUGUUGAGCACCUGAAAGAAGAAGAACUAAAGGGAGAGCAAAGAAGAAGAUGAAAUGGCAGAUACAGAUUAAAGAGGCUGAAAAAGGGGGAAACCCAAAAAUUAGAUGAAACAACCUUAUUAAUAUCCGGGAAACGUCUUAAUGAAGAAAUGAAUAAUGAAUUUGAAAAGACGGGAGAGGAUUUGUUCAGAUUGGGUAAGAUUGCGGUGUUUUUUUAUUGGCUCUAGAGGCUUCUAAUUUAGUUUCUG